CUUAGCCUCAAAGGAGAUAUGUGAUGAUGACCAGACGUGUUUAUAAUGAUGUGUGAUGCAGAGAUGGAUCAGCUUCAGCCAGAACAGAGCUGUAUGAUAUCUACUCCCACGGACUGUGUCUCACACUCGUUCAUCAAACGACUGUCAUUCCCGAUACAAUACUGUUUAUUUGUUAUUCAGUUAUUAGUAAAAAUACGUUACUGUAAUAAUCUGUCUUUAUUAGUACCUGUACCCUUCACAUAUGUCAUCAGGAAUACAUCUCCAUAAAUGCAAUGGUAUACCUGUACAUUAAAAAAUAAUUUAUUUGUUUAAAAUAUAUUACUUAUUUAUUAUUAAAAAACACUGUAUACUGUAUUAUCUUUAAUGGGGAAACUGUACAGUGAUCUAAUCAGAUUUGAUAUAGGCCUAACAUGAGCUUAUAGGUACGAGAUGACACUUGAUGGGGAAGGGGUAGACUGGCCAGUGACCAUUGUCACGAUUGCAAUUUUUUUUACUUGUUAAUUAUUAUACUGUACAGUAUUCUUGUAUGAUCAGCCUAUUAUGGUUUAUGUUUCAUCAUAAAUAAUAUAACAUACAGUAUUAAUUGGAAGAGAAUACAAAAUAUAAUUUGUCUUCAAAUAAAAUAAAUCUGAAUCAGAAGGUAAUCUCUUCACUGUCAGCGGUACGGGUGGGGAUAUUUGUUGCUGUGUUCAUGUUUGUGUUUACGUAUUCUCAUAUGAUCAGCCCCUUGUGGUGUAUGUUUCAUCAUUAAUAAUAUCUUAAAUAAAUGAAAAAACAUGAAAUAUAAUUUGCAAUUUGACUUAAAAAUAAUGAAGACUGAUUGACUAGGCCAGAUGUACGUAUGUGUGAGUGACAUAAUGUGCGCUCUAUUUCUGCUCUCUUCCCAGGAGGAUUCCAUAUUGUUUGAAUUAUUUUACAUAAAAUAUUACCAUUUUUCUGUGACUGAAUGUGUUAAAACAUAUAGUUAACCAACCACAGUGCAGCAUAAUGGGCGAGUCCAUUCUAAGAGUGAAGGAAUAAACUGCUCACUAACAGGUUUUUAGGGGGAAAGAGGCCAGGGAUUGCUUGUUGGCGGAAAUUUCAAAUGACUGCGCGUGCCAGGAAUUUCAAACAACAAAUAUUUAAGGGUUUGGACAAAUGCUUCUUGUCCUGAAAGGGUCCCGACAACCCGAAAUACAGACUUUCGAGGGUUUACUGUAUUAACAUUUCUAUUAGGUAAAUUUUAAAAUUUAAUGACCUAAUUUUUUUAUGCACAGAAGAAGUUGCCAGAGAAUUGUAUUGUCAUUGCUCUGAUGAAUCUACAUCUAUAAAA